AGAACAUCAACACUGCGUACAACCAACAACCCCUUCCCUCAUGCAUUCAACAAGAAUCAACGUGGAAGAAGCAACAAAAAUAGCAGAGGAGGAUUCCGGAACAACGAAUCGACGUUUGGACUCAGUGAGUUCAGAUCAAACUUCGAAAAUGCGGAGAAACGUCGCCUCGAAGAUCCCCACUGGAAGCAAGUUGUAACAAACUUGAUAACCAAACGAUACAACCCAACUUCAAAUUAUUUGGAUUUAUC